UAGCUCAGUUUGUUAGAGCGUGGUGCUGGUAACACCAAGGUCGCGGGUUCAAUUCCCAC
rnacentral:tRNA from 1 species